AAUGGCUAUGGUUAUGUACAUCUUGCGACCUGUUCUACAUCCUUUUUGUCACACUCCUUGCAUUCACUUUCUGCUAUUGCUAGACAGACAUUACCGCUUCCAUCAUCUCCUUUCCUGUGUCCUCCAUCCAUUGAUCAUGCUUUCCCCAUCUUUGUUGUGCCUUGUGCCCCUUAAUCUCUACCACCCAACCACCCACUUUAUGGCUUCAAGGCUUGUUGAGUUGAGAGGGGGGAGGUGGUGGAGGGGUCAGAUUAGUUCGGCUGGUGUGGGUUUAACAUGGAGGAACUAGGGGGAAGGGCAUUUUUGAUUGGUCAAAAAUGGUGGGAGUGAUGGCAUGAUUAGAUCAACUUAGAAGAUGCUACUGAAACGAUGGCUAGGCAAUGGAAGGCAGCAAAACUGAUUAAAAAAUGUUGAAUAUGCUUGGUUGGAGAGGACAUGACCUAUAAGUGUGGUGAGUUUGUGAAAACUAAUUGUUAACUACAUUUUGUAUCAUACUUUAUUGGCUGCUAUUUUUUUUAUAAACCAUCAUAUGAUGAUAAAGUCAUAAAGUUAAGCAACCAUAAGCAUAAAAAGUAAAAUGAAAAGGAAAUGUAAAUACCAGAACAAGAAAAUAAAUCAUAUGUAAAUAGCUAUUAGGGAUAGCAAUAUAGAUUGUGGUUACAUAAAGCAGUCACAUAGUUGAAGUCAACUAUAUGCUCGAAGAUAAUAGGAGAGGCAAAUUUUAGCAUCCUAUGCAACAUUGAUUUUUUUUUUUUAAUUUUCUAUUUGAAAAAAAAGGGAUUUGUGAGCUGGAGUUCACUAGAACUUCUGUUAGAUACCGCAUUUUCAGAUAUAGGAAAUGAAAAUUUCAAUAUAACAUGCAAAAAGGCUAAUCUAGAGGGUGGACCUUGUUGCAAUGGUAAGGUUGCUAUAUUGUGACCUGGGUGUCACGGGUUCGAAACACUUGAAAACAACCUCUCUGUAUGUAGGGAUAAGGCUGCAUAUAUCAACCCUUCUUAGACCCCAUAAUGGUGGAUUCCUUGUGCAUUAAGGCUAAUCUCAUCUUUUAAAGCUGAGACAUGUUUUAGAGAGCUGUUGCUUUCUGUGCGCGUGUGCAUGGGUGUGUGUGUUUUGGUAUGGGGUGGGGAGAGGGGGUAAGUUUGUUACGCUUUAUUGUUUGCACACACAUGACUCUUCAUCUUUAUUUUUAAAAUUAUGUAUAUAUGUGUAUGUAUGUCUAUGAAGCUUAUGUUUUGUUGCAAUUCCGUUAUUCCAUUCACAUUUCUUUCUACUUUUAUAAAUUUAUGAUCAUGACAACUUAAUGAAGAUCCUGGGCAUUGAGAUUAGGGAAUAAAAAGGUUGCUUGGUGUUAUAUUUUGCAAUUUAGAUUGAGCCAAGUUGGGAGUGGGAAACUAUAAAUAUUCUGUAGGGUCACUGGAUUUGCAUAGACUCAUUUAUUAGUCAGAAUUGGAAUAAUCUGAUUGUCAUGUUACUUUUUAGUUACUCGAGUCUUUUGAAUCUUUUGCUUCCAGUCACUCUGUCUUUUAUCGUUUAGCAUCUAAUUGAUUACUUACACAUACUGCUGAUGCUACAAACAUUUGUACAUAAUAUUGGAAGUUCCUUAUGUUCACCUUCUACCUUCCUCCCCACUCUCUUCCCUUUCCACAACCCCACUCCACACCACCCCCUCAAAACAACCCCCACACACGCCCUCCAACCCCCCCCCGCGCCACCACCACAACCAAACUUCUACCUUCCUCCCCACUCUCUUCCCUCUCCACAACCCCACUCCACCCCCUCCCCCACAACCAAAAUUAAGAAAUAAAAAAUAAAAAUGCAACAACCUCAUCUCCCACCCCUCCUUACCUUAAUUUUUGUAUAUUAUUAAAAAUUGGAUGUAUAAAUUGGUGAUGAUAAUGCUGCAAUCAGUUUAUUUAUUGAUGACAACGCAUUUGAUUUUUCUGUAUGCUUGUAUGCAUGUAAAUUAUGGUCCAUGUUUAGUUGAAAUCUGAUUCUUAUACCCCCCUCCUCUCAUUUGAACAAUCAGGUGUUAAUUUUCCGGGUUAUCCUGGUGUUCCCAUGGGCUAUAUGAUCCCCUCAGUAGCAUACAGCACAGUAACUUAUGGAUCGAAUGGACUUGGGGGAAAAUACCCAAGUAACAAGGUUAGUACUUCAUAUUAGUGUAUAUGGAAUUUCCUGAUGAUGGCAAGAAACUCUGUCCCACUUUUGUUCUGUAUGCAUCUACCCAUCUGUUUUAAGAUGGAACACUAAUAUUUCCACUGUUAAUCAUAAAUUAUUCUCCUAUAUGAAGGUGAAUGAAUAAUCCAUAUUUGGUAAUGGUAUUUCUAUUAGGAUGCAAAUUCUCUAUAUUGAUCAUAUUUGUGGUACACCUGAAUCAGUCAAUUAGUAUUUUGGAAGUUACUUUUAGUUAGAAAUAUUUAAUUCAUAGAUAUGCCAUGCUGCACAUCAUGACCCUUUGAAGACCAGAAGCAUUAAGAGAAAUUAAAACUGUAUCAUGAACGGCUGCAAUAGAUUUUGUUUUUUUAUCGCAUGUCAUUGUCAAGAAUGCAAUUUCUUUAACUUGUAGAUGCAAACUUUUAUGAAUUUAUGAUUUCAAUCUUUUCUACAGAUGCAAGUCUAACUUCUUCUUCUUCUUCUUCUUUUUCAAGUAUAAUCCUAUUUGGACACUGAUAUCUAACAUGGUGCCUGACAAAACCCAGUGAUUCCUGGGAAAGACAUUUAAAACAUUAAUAGGCCCUAGAAUGGCGUGUAUGGCAUUGAUGAUCAGUCCAAAAAAAAAAAAUGAAGAGAACUUUCUUGGUGCAGCCAGAUUCUUAUAUGGACAUUGAGCUUUCAGAUUUAUGUAAAGGAAACAAAGAAACUUGUACCUACCACCCCCCCUCCUUCAACCAAAAAAAAA
rnacentral:lncRNA from 1 species